rnacentral:rRNA from 1 species
UACCCGCAGCACAAGUGGUGGUCAUUAUUAUUGGGCCUAAAGCGUCCGUAGCUGGCUUGUUAGAUGCCUGGGUAAAUCGAUGCGCUCAACGCAUCGAACUCCGGGUAGACCGGCAAGCUUGGGACCGGGAGAGGCGUGAGCUACUCGAGGGGUAGGGGUAAAAUCCUGUAAUCCUUCGGGGAGGACCAGUGGCGAAGGCGUCACGCUAGAACGGCUCCGACAGUGAGGGACGAAGCCC